rnacentral:rRNA from 1 species
UACGUAGGUGGCAAGCGUUGUCCGGACUUACUGGGUGUAAAGGGCGUGCAGCCGGAGAGACAAGUCAGAUGUGAAAUCCACGGGCUCAACUCGUGAACUGCAUUUGAAACUGUUUCCCUUGAGUGUCGGAGAGGUAAUCGGAAUUCCUUGUGUAGCGGUGAAAUGCGUAGAUAUAAGGAAGGACACCAGUGGCGAAGGCGGAUUACUGGACGAUAACUGACGGUGAGGCGCGAAAGCGUGGGGAGCAAACAGG